GAUGAAGAACGUAGUGAAAUGCGAUACUUGGUGUGAAUUGCAGAAUCCCGUGAACCAUCGAGUCUUUGAACGCAAGUUGCGCCCGAAGCCACUAGGCCGAGGGCACGCCUGCCUGGGCGUCACACGCCGUUGCCCCCCCAUCUACUCCUUCGGGAUUGCGGGGGGGCGGAUGAUGGCCUCCCGUGCGCCUAGCCGCGCGGUUGGCAUAAAUACCAAGUCCUCGGCGACGCACGCCACGACAAUCGGUGGUUGCGAAACCUCGGUUGCCCGUCGUGUGCGUUCGUCGCGCAUCGAGGGCUCGAAAAAAUGCUCGGCUCCGGCUGGGCUUUCAACGCGACCCCAGGUCAGGCGGGGUUACCCGCUGAAUUUAAGCAUAUCAAUAAGCGGAGG
rnacentral:misc_RNA from 1 species